CACCGCGGUUAUACGGAGGGCCCAAGUUGAUAGCCAACGGCGUAAAGCGUGGUUAAGAUUUAAAACUAUAGUAAAGCCGAAAGUAAGCUAAGCUGUUAUACGCACUCGAACAUGUAAGCUCGAUCACGAAAGUAGCUUUAUAUAACUGACGCCACGAAAGCCAGGGAA
rnacentral:rRNA from 1 species